UACGGAGGGAGCUAGCGUUAUUCGGAAUUACUGGGCGUAAAGCGCACGUAGGCGGCUUUGUAAGUAAGAGGUGAAAGCCCAGAGCUCAACUCUGGAAUUGCCUUUUAGACUGCAUCGCUUGAAUCAUGGAGAGGUCAGUGGAAUUCCGAGUGUAGAGGUGAAAUUCGUAGAUAUUCGGAAGAACACCAGUGGCGAAGGCGGCUGACUGGACCAUUACUGACGCUGAGGCGCGAAAGCGUGGGGAGCAAACAGG
rnacentral:rRNA from 1 species